UUUUUCAUUGUAACGGAAAUAUUCUUCUAACGUCUUAAUUCUUAAAAUUUUCUAUAUAUACUCAUUUCAUUCUUUCAUUUCCAUACAACUCUCCAAUACUUCAUUUUUUUUGUUAUCUUGUUCACUUCAUUUUCACAAGUAAAAUGGCGGAUUCUAGCUCCCAAAAUUCCGAUUCUAGUAAUUCAAGCUCCCAAAAUAUUCAAGGUUCCUAUUUUCCAACUUCACAAUACCAUCACAUGUCCUACCC
rnacentral:lncRNA from 1 species